GCCCAAACCAAGAGGCUUGCCUCUUGGGGUUGUAGGACACUCUAUACGGAGUUACAAAGGAAUGAUAUAAGCGAAGAGGUCUGGAAAGGCCCGCCAAAGAAGGUAACAGCCCUGUAACUGAAAUGUCAUUCUCUCCAGAGUGGAUCCUGAGUACGGCGGAACACGUGAAAUUCCGUCGGAAUCCGGGAGGACCAUCUCCCAAGGCUAAAUACUCCCUAGUGACCGAUAGUGAACCAGUACCGUGAGGGAAAGGU
rnacentral:rRNA from 1 species